UGCGCAGGCGGAAUAAUAAGUCAGUGGUGAAAUCCUACAGCUUAACUGUAGAACUGCCAUUGAUACUGUUAUUCUUGAGUACAGUUGUAGUGGGCGGAAUGUGUUAUGUAGCGGUGAAAUGCAUAGAUAUGACACAGAACACCGAUCGCGAAGGCAGCUCACUAAGCUGUAACUGACGCUCAGGCACGAAAGCGUGGGGAGCAAACAGGAUUAGAUACCCUGGUAGUCC
rnacentral:rRNA from 1 species